GGAAUAUGUAUCAUCACAUUUUCAAUCAUGAAUAAUAAACAUUUGCUUUUGCCAGCCUGGCAUCAUUUCCUUCUUCUUCUGGCAAUGCCACUUCCAUUAUCCUAUGGAAAAUCACUCCUUCCUCACUCUCAAUGCACAUAGUUUGGAAAUGGGAUGGGGUGGGGUGGGGUGGAAAAAUAACUUUAACAUUAAUCCCAGACAUGGCAAAACUAUGUAAUUACUAUGAAGCCAUAAAAAGGAAUGAGAUCAUGUCCUUUGCAGGGACACGGAUGGAAUUGGAAGCCAUUAUCCUCAGCAAACUAAUGCAAGGACAGACAACCAAACACUGCCUGUUCUCACAUAUAAGUUGGAUCCAAAUGAUGAGAACACAUGGACACAUGAGGAGAAAAACCUCACACUGGGGUUGUUGGAAGGGGUCCCAACAGGAAGCAUCAGGAAGAAUAGUAUGGAUUCUGGGCUUAAUACCUAGGUGGCGG
rnacentral:lncRNA from 1 species